rnacentral:rRNA from 1 species
UACGAAGGGGGCUAGCGUUGUUCGGAUUUACUGGGCGUAAAGCGCACGUAGGCGGAUCGUUAAGUCGGGGGUGAAAUCCUGGAGCUCAACUCCAGAACUGCCUUCGAUACUGGCGAUCUAGAGUCCGGAAGAGGUGAGUGGAACUCCUAGUGUAGAGGUGGAAUUCGUAGAUAUUAGGAAGAACACCAGUGGCGAAGGCGGCUCACUGGUCCGGUACUGGACGCUGAGGUGCGAAAGCGUGGGGAGCAAACAGGG